UCAUUCCUCAACUAUUUGCUGCUUAUUACUCCACCUUCCACAACUUGCAACUUUCUCUCUUCAGGCUACCAACUCUGCCUUCAUUUUUUCACACUGUCUCCGACACUUUUACAUCAAAUUAUUACCACCUAAUAAGCACAGUGACAGAGGGACCCCAGGCUUUUUUUCGGUUUCUCUCAGACCAAGAUUGAAUGUGAUGACAAGGGUGAUGGAUGGUGUGACAUGUGCUGCUGGCCCACAGAACCAGGUUAAGGCGUACGGUCCAGGCCUUCAGAGCAGUGGUCUGGCUGUUGGAAAACCCACUGAAUUCACAGUUGAUGCCAAGCAAGGAGGAAAAGCUCCUCUGAAAAUUAUAGCCCAGGAUGGUGAAGUCAAUUCUGUGGAUGUCCAGGUUAAGGAUAAUGGCAACAGCACAUACACCUGCACCUACACCCCACGUAAGCCUGUGAAGCAGACUGUGAUGGUCUCCUGGGGAGACUGAGAGUCCAUUCAGGAUGAAUAUCGGAGCAGGCUGUCAUCCAAACAAGGUGAAGGUCUCUGACCCUGGAGUGGCAAAUACGGGCCUCCAAGCCUUCCAGCCAACAUACUUCACUGUUGACUGCUCAGAGUCUGGUCAAGGACAAAGGCUGUUUGCGUUUAGGCUAUUCCAAUGACAUCCUUCAGGGUCAAAGUGGAUCCUUCUCAAGGCAGAGGGACCAGGACUCAGCCGCAGUGGGGUCUUCUGUGAGGCAACAACAGACUUCACUGUGGAUGCACAAAUGAGUUUGCGCUCCAUGUUUUGAGGGUCAUGAGCUUCGCCUGGCGCUAUGGCUGGGCUGAAAUAUUGCAGGAAUCUCCUUUGUUCCCAAGGAGAUUGGUGAGCACCUUGUUAACAUCGAGAAGAACGGCCGUCAUGUUCCCAGCAGCCCAACUGCUGUUAUGAUCAAGCAGUCAGGGAUUGGUGAUGUGAGCCGUGUGUGUGUGAGUGGACGGUGGCUGACCGAGGCCAGGACUUUUCAGCCUUGAGAGUUCAUCAUUGAUGCAGUUUUGCCCUGAGCUGAACCGCUGCCUCCUUCUCUGUUGUGGUACUCAGCGGUGACCAAGAUGCUGUAACGUGCAUCUGGCUGCAGUGACUCCAGCAUCACCUGCUUCUCUCCACCAGGGACCAGCACCUGCAGACAACAAACAACACUAUCAUCCCAACACAGUCAGAACUCAUUUAAAGUUUUAGGACUUGUGGAAUUUCUGGAAUUCUGACACAUGACAGCCGGCUGAAGCCCAGAAGAGGUGAAGAUGUGAUGACUACGACCCACUCACAGUGUGAUCCUGGCUAUCAGCUCCAGUCAAUGCUGUGUAGGACACGUGAUACUGGAGGACAUGAGCAUUGGGAGGUACCCAACUGAUCACCAUGCUGACGGCAGUCUCAUCAGAAAGCGUGAGGCUGGUUGGGCCUCCACCAGAGCCUGCAGCAACAUCAUAGAAGAGAUAAAGUACCACAGCUAACGACACUUAACACUCACUUUCUUCCUUUAUAGGAGGAAAUUAUUUUGGCAGCAGAGCAAAGUGUUUUUUUUAGAAAAUAAAUGUAAAGUAUAACAGAGAAUUUGAUACUUUGAUUUGAUACUUUAACCUCACUACAUUUAUUUCAUAGCUCAGAGUUCUAGUUACUCAAAGAUGAGAAUUUAGAUGUGAAAUUUAACCUUUAAGUGACUAGUACUUUGAGAACUGCCAUCAAUUACACAAUGAAGUUCAUUGACGUACAGGUUAUUGUAUUAGUAAUGCUAUAUUGUACAUAGAGACACAAUAUGACAGAAUAUGACUGCUGCUAAUGUGACUUAGGUAAAUGGUUUCAGGCUCUCCCCUCCUGAGUUUGAGAAAUGUUCAGGAUCAGAAAAUGUGUGACUCACAGGUGCUGUAGCAUACGGCCACAGCUUCACUCUGAGCUCCAUCUCCAUAGAGUGCAGACAGUGAUAUCUGAUGCUCCUUAAGACACAGGACAACAGUUUAUUGAGACAUUGUAUUUUUUACUUCAUAAUAUGUACUCCAACAAUCCAAUAGUUCUUCCCCACCUGUCUCAGGUCGCCUCCACUUAGUGAGGUAAGAAACAUCAUCAUCAUCUGCAGCUUCCCAGCGCACCGUGAUGUCACUGUCUGAGAAAUUAGUUACCCUAAGGUCAGAAGGAGGAGGCACCUUCACUAGAAGAAAAGAAUAAUGUGUAUGGGAAUUUUUUAAAAAUGAGAAAGCUACAUUUUGACAUCUUUCAUUAUUAAUAACAUUUACAGUACUGUGCAAAAGUCGUGAGCCACACGCUGAAGUAUUUCUUUGGACAUUAUCUGGUUUUUCCACUCCUUUUUAGUCCAGUUCUUGUACCUGACCAUUUUCUGAGUACUGUUUUUUGUUUGUUUGUUUUUUGUUUGUGUAAACACUUGGCACUGACCAUUGUUGGAGAAUUAAAAAGCACCUAAGUCAAGGAAUGUGUGUGCACAUAACAGAAAACUUGGGAAAGAACCAAUUUUAAAUCUUUAAGCAUUUUGUUACUAGCGGCCUGUCACAAAAACACAUUUUGUAUAGUGUUUUUUUUUUUUUUUUUUUUUUUUUAAAUCUUGUGAAUAAAAUGUAUACAAAUGUGUGUGAUUAAUCACAAUGUGUUAGUGUGUAAUCACCCUGAGACAUGCAUGCCUGUCUGCUAGCGUCAGAUCUAAAGCCAUUUCUGAUUUGGAGAUGCAGGCUGCAGAUUCUGUCCAGAUUAUCCCAGCUCUCGUCACUAAGCAUCCAGUCUUCACUUAUCAAAUGUGUAAAAUUCAAGGCUGGUCCUUAAAAGCUCCCAACAAGGCAAAAACUGUGAAUCUAACCAAAAGUGUAUUUCCUGUUUCUCCCACAUAUUGGAUUCCACAGUUCCUACAAGUGAUCAAAUAUACACAGUUUUUAGAUCUUGGAGUCCCUUUGCACAGUGAUAGAAAAACAUUACCAUUGGAAUAACUGCCCACCCACUUGUGGUGCUGGAAAAAUUGCCCUGACCUCUGCGCUUAGGCUCAGAGAGAGGUGAGAUUUUAGCCUUUACAAGGAGAUCACCCAGGUUUUUGUUCCUCCUGAAGGCUGCAAUUGCCUUGUGAUCCUGAAGCAUAUGUGUGUCCUGAGUGAACCUUUGAAAGUUGCUCUUGAUAACUCUGACCAAUUUGGAGGUGGAGGGAGAAUAUGUGAUCACCACUGGGAUGAGGGGAGAAACAUCAAUUGGCUUGGUCUGCAAGAAUGAAUUGAAACAUUUUCUUAAAAAGGACCAACAGUACCCCCUAGUGGAGAGAGCUGAGAAUAAAAUCUUGACAGCUUCCCCCAAAUCACUCUGAGUGCAGAUCCUGUGAAAUCUCAGUAAUUGGGAUUUAAUUAUCCCUGCAAAUGUGUGUUUUGGGUGAAAACUUGUUCUGAACAGUAAGGCAUGUGUAUCUGUAGGUUUGAAAAAGACUUUAACAUCUAAUUUGUGGUCAUUUGGGAAAUUUGGGCCCUUAAAUGUAGUUGUGUCUAAAAAAUCAAUUGAGGAUUUAUUAAUGGUGGAUUUCAGUUUGAUGGAAGCAUUAUGGUCAUUAAAUUGUCAUUAUUAACAUUAA